AACGUAGGACGCAAGCGUUAUUCGGAAUUACUGGGCGUAAAGCGUGCGUAGACGGCUAUCUAAGUCGGGUGUGAAAGCCCCGGGCUCAACCUGGGAAUUGCAUUCGAGACUGAAUAGCUAGGGUACGGUAGAGGGAAGUGGAAUUUCCGGUGUAGCGGUGAAAUGCGUAGAUAUCGGAAGGAACAUCAGUGGCGAAAGCGACUUCCUGGACCAGUACCGACGUUCAGGCACGAAAGCGUGGGGAGCAAACAGG
rnacentral:rRNA from 1 species